AUUGAACGCUGGCGGCAGGCCUAACACAUGCAAGUCGAGCGGAUGAAGGGAGCUUGCUCCUGGAUUCAGCGGCGGACGGGUGAGUAAUGCCUAGGAAUCUGCCUGGUAGUGGGGGAUAACGUCCGGAAACGGGCGCGAAUACCGCAUACGUCCUGAGGGAGAAAGUGGGGGAUCUUCGGACCUCACGCUAUCAGAUGAGCCUAGGUCGGAUUAGCUAGUUGGUGGGGUAAGGGCCUACCAAGGCGACGAUCCGUAACUGGUCUGAGAGGAUGAUCAGUCACACUGGAACUGAGACACGGUCCAGACUCCUACGGGAGGCAGCAGUGGGGAAUAUUGGACAAUGGGCGAAAGCCUGAUCCAGCCAUGCCGCGUGUGUGAAGAAGGUCUUCGGAUUGUAAAGCACUUUAAGUUGGGAGGAAGGGCAGUAAGUUAAUACCUUGCUGUUUUGACGUUACCAACAGAAUAAGCACCGGCUAACUUCGUG
rnacentral:rRNA from 1 species